rnacentral:tRNA from 1 species
GGGCAUGUAGCUUAGAUGGUAGAGCAGCCGACUCUUAAUCGGCAGGUCGUUGGUUCGAUCCCAACCAUGCCCA